rnacentral:rRNA from 1 species
AACGAACGCUGGCGGCAUGCCUAACACAUGCAAGUCGAACGAGACCUUCGGGUCUAGUGGCGCACGGGUGCGUAACGCGUGGGAACCUGCCCUUAGGUUCGGAAUAACUCCCCGAAAGGGGUGCUAAUACCGGAUAAUGUCUUCGGACCAAAGAUUUAUCGCCGUUGGAUGGGCCCGCGUUGGAUUAGCUAGUUGGUAGGGUAAAAGCCUACCAAGGCGACGAUCCAUAGCUGGUCUGAGAGGAUGAUCAGCCACACUGGGACUGAGACACGGCCCAGACUCCUACGGGAGGCAGCAGUGGGGAAUAUUGGACAAUGGGCGAAAGCCUGAUCCAGCAAUGCCGCGUGAGUGAUGAAGGCCUUAGGGUUGUAAAGCUCUUUUACCCGGGAUGAUAAUGACAGUACCGGGAGAAUAAGCGCCGGCUAACUCCGUG